rnacentral:rRNA from 1 species
CGAACGAAUCGCUUCGGCGAUUAGUGGCAAACGGGUGAGUAACACGUAAGAACUUACCCUUCACCUAGGGAUAACCCAGAGAAAUCCGGGCUAAUACCUAAUGGUUCCGGUUUACCGGUAAAGCUUUUGCGGUGAAGGAGAGUCUUGCGAACUAUCAGCUUGUUGGUGAGGUAAUGGCUCACCAAGGCUAAGACGGUUAGCUGGUUCGAGAGAAUGACCAGCCACAUUGGGACUGAGAUACUGCCCAA